rnacentral:lncRNA from 1 species
GUCCUCGGGCGCAGCGGCGGUGGCAGCAGCGGCGCCCCUCUGGGUGACUUGGCCGUGAGAAAGUGAAAGGAGCCCGCAGGCGGCGGCGACAGCUGCGCUGGGAGGGGCUUGUUUCCAGGCUCAGAGGCCCCGCGCACUCUGCGGGUGCGGAGCGAGCUUUUCGGUGUGCACUGUGACAACCACAAACACACUUUUGAACGUAGUGGGGCUUGGCUGCUGCGAGUUACGCAGCCACAACUUUAAACUACCGAGGGACGAUGUAAGACUGCUGUGUCGCUUUUCUUUCCUUCAAAUAAACUUUUACUCGGUACCUGUUCUUGGCAAUUAGACUGCGUUAAUCACAGCCACAAAGACGUGGAAAUGUCUGCCGUCAAGAAAUUGGAAAUCGUAUCGAGAACCCAGACUGGCAAGCCUGUUGCUAACCAACCUGCCAGGAGACCUUUCAACUGGGCAAAAUGUGC